GAUGAACGCUAGCGGGAGGCUUAACACAUGCAAGUCGAGGGGUAUAGGUAGCAAUACUUAGAGACCGGCGGACGGGUGCGUAACGCGUAUGCAACCUACCUUAUACAGGGGGAUAGCCCGUGGAAACGCGGAUUAACCCCCAUACAUCAACGGGAUCGCAUGGUUUUGUUGAAAAAACUGAGGUGGUAUAAGAUGGGCAUGCGUCUGAUUAGCUGGUUGGUAGGGUAAAGGCCUACCAAGGCGACGAUCAGUAGGGGUUCUGAGAGGAUAAUCCCCCACACUUGUACUGAGACACGGACCAGACUCCUACGGGAGGCAGCAGUGAGGAAUAUUGGUCAAUGGGCGCGAGCCUGAACCAGCCAUUCCGCGUGAAGGAAGAAGGCCUUAUGGGUUGUAAACUUCUUUUCUGUAAGAAGAACGGCCCCGACGCGUCGGGGUAUGACGGUAUUAUAGGAAUAAGCAUCGGCUAACUCCGUGCCAGCCGCCGCAGUAAAAC
rnacentral:rRNA from 1 species